CUAUAUGAAUUUAGAUUUUUUUUUUUUAAAUAACAAUAUGCCCAGAUCCCGUCCUUUAUUUUUCAUCAUUUAUAAAUCCAUGUUUUGUUCUUGUAAUUAAAUUUUUAUAUUCUUGCAUGCAUUUUCAUGGUUAUGAUGGCUGGGUUUUGAGAUUAGAAUAUUGAAGGGAUCUUUUUACUUGGGAAAGGGAGGAAGAUGACAAAGACAUUAAUUUCUAAUUUUGGCCCCAGAUUAGAGGCAAAGGAUAAAAUGUUAUGGACUUGGGAAUGUAAUGGUUAAUAUUGUGUAGCUUCAUCUUUUAGUCAUUAUCAAGCUUCAUAAGGUCUCUCAAGAAUGAAAAGAAGUUGUAGACAUUAUCCUAGUGAGAAAAAUGCACCGGGUGAAGGACUAUAAGGAGAUAAAGGAGUACUCAAUUAACAACUUUAUUACUUACAUAGAUCUGGAAUAGUGGUAUUAGAAUAACCAAAGAGUAAUUGACUAUUUGGAAUUGUUGCUUUUAGUGCAUUUUUAAAAUUAUUAAAGGCUUUAAGGUUGAUGGCACUCUUAUGCCACCAGAUGGACUUGAUUUGUGGCUAGAUAGUAACAGUAAGCACCAAUGGCUUAUCUUCUACAGAAUCAAUGAAAUAUCACUGCAAGGAGGCGGUCUAAUAGAUGGGAGAGGAA